rnacentral:lncRNA from 1 species
CAAAGGAACGACAUUUGAAAGUCAUCAUGUGUACGAACAGCCGGCGGAAGAUCCAACCGAUACGCCACCGCGUUGAUCUUUUCCUUAACCACAAAGGGUCCAAGCGAGGUAGCAACUAAUGCAGCCCUCAAUAUUAAUAUGUUUCGUACUCAAAGAGUACGCGAUCACCAACAGAAAGUCCUCUUUCCGAGCGACCUUUG